rnacentral:rRNA from 1 species
CACGUAGGGGGCGAGCGUUAUCCGGAUUCAUUGGGCGUAAAGCGCGCGCAGGCGGCCGCCUAAGCGGGACCUCUAAUCCUGGGGCUCAACCUCAGGCUGGGUCCCGAACUGGGCGGCUCGGGUGCGGUAGGGGUAGGCGGAAUUCCCGGUGUAGCGGUGGAAUGCGCAGAUAUCGGGAAGAACACCGACGGCGAAGGCAGCCUACUGGGCCGUCACCGACGCUGAGGCGCGAAAGCUAGGGGAGCGAA